CUCUAGUAGUGAUAAUCACAAUAAUAGAUUUAGUGUACGCACCGCCGUCCGUGAUCUCCUAAGUCAAGGUGAAUAAGUACACGUGAUGUUACUGUACACCAGACCAAAAUCAAGUGACACAAACGUUUGAAUUGUGUUGCAUAAUCGAGUUUUAAUUAAAUCACCUAAUAAAUAUUUGAUACUCGACCAAUAUAGUCGUAUCGGGUGUUUUAUUUUUAAUUCACGUUUGAUUGUUGAAAUGAAGACAAGUAAAUGUUAAUGAGUAAGAAACAUGGAAAUAAACAAAUAUUGACUUGAACAAGGUUUUUAUACGAAUCGAAAAAUAACACCCAUAGAAAUCCGGUCCAACAUUACAAAUAGCGUAAUUAGUUGCAUUCAAUUCUGAGAAUAAGAAUUAAGUGGGAUAUCAUUUUUAUUUCCAAGCUCUUUAUGUGAUGUUGAAACACUGCUGAUCGCCGAGAUAAUAACCUUUAACUUGCAAGCUUGCAAGAAAAUUCAAUGUAGUUUGAAAAAUGGAUUUGUUUAGAUUGACGUAAUAUUUUCAAAUGUGAAGUUGAAAAUGUUAACUGUUAAUAAUUGCUUAAGAGAAUGUCCAAGAUUAAUCAUUGGGAAAAUGUCCGAAGACAACUUAUUAAAUAUCAAAGAUCACUUUUUAAAAGUGGAUCCAUUGGAGCUAGAUAUAUUAUUUAUGUGAUUAAACUUA